GCACGGCUCUGGGCUGUCUGCCUGUGGAUUUCAUUUCUGCCUUUUAGUUUUUACUUUUUCUUUCUUUGGAGGCAGAAAUUGGGCAUAAGACAGUAUGAGGGGUGGUCUCCUCCCUUAAAGGAACUCCCCAAACCUCCAUGAUUUAGCAGGAGACAAAGAGAAGGGUAAUCACCCAGCACCUAGACCCAUUUAGAUUAAGUAAAUUUACUGAGGCUCCAGAGGAAGGUCUUCAGGACUCAGACCUUAAUUAUAGAUUAAAAGUAGUUAAUCACUUAUGUCUUUAGAUGAAUGCACACUUAACAUGUAGACAUAUAGCUUAGAAGGUAUAUAAGCUCUGGAAAACUUUGUAAUUUGGAGUUGGUCUGGUGAUAACUUCCAGGCCUUGUCCCUGUAAUCGGUUGCAGAAAUAAAAUCUUUCUUUCUCCCCAGUUCAUCUGGAUCUCGUUAUUGGGCCAUGAGAAAUAGCAGCCCGACCCUCACUCUGGUCUGGGAACAAAAUUUGGCAAGCCAGCCAGGAGAGACUGGGAUGGUGCUGUGUUCAGCGGCUAGCAGCUUGCAAUGAGACAGUCUUCAGGAGGAUCCCAGCAGCUGCUGAUGAGAUUUCCCAAGGACCCUCUUGAAGGCUGUUUCAUGCAGAAAAUUGCACAUCUCUUUCACUACUGGGGAAGAAUGGAGAUCAGGAGUGGAUGCACUCAAAGGGUCACAAUUGAAAAAACUGAUCAUUUUACCAAGGCUUUGACUGGAAUGGUGUGCUUUCCUUUAAGAAAUCAAACUUGACUUAUGGAGCCAACGGAACCCCAAGUUGUCUUGGAACCUCAAGAGGAGAGAAAUUCACCCAACACAUAGGUGCUGCCUCUAAGCCCUGAAGCAGAGAGUGCUACCAAGAACAAAUCGACCUCUUCCACUCCAGUGCUGUGUUUGGUGCCCCAUAACGACGACCCUCUCUCAGCAGGAAGUAGCCAGAAAGGUUAUGAUGUCCCAUCUCCCUACAAUCCUCGUGAUAAAUAAAUAUACAAGCAUGAUAGAUAUCAUGUGCAAAUUGACAGUGGAGAUUGUGGCAGGCGGAUCUCACUAAAGCAGGCUUCUGUAACAACUGUUUCAGUAUUGACUGAGUGGUUAAGUUAAAUAUUAAAAGCCAGUGGCCCUUAUACAAAGGCUGGGAUGGAACAAAAGCCCACCAAGAGUUUUGCGUAGGCCUUUCCUGGGCCUUAAAGCAUGACAAAAUAAUGAAGGAAUUCUUAACAGGACCCAUUUAGGAUUAAACAAGUUUUAUCAUGAGUCUGAAGAAGCUUUCCAGGCCUCCACAUACAAGUUUAUUGCAGGUCUGAAGGAACUCCCUAAACCUCCAUGAUUUAGCAGGAGACAAGAUAAGGGUAACCACCCCAGCACCUGGACCCAUUUAGAUUAAGUAAAUUUACUGAUGCUCCGGAGGAAGAUCCUCAGGACUCAGACCUUAAUUAUAGAUUAAAAGUAGUGAAUCACUUAUGUCUUUAGAUGAAUGCACACUUACACGUAGACAUAUAGCUUAAAAGGUAUAUAAGCUCUGGAAAAUGUUGUAAUUUGGAGUUGGUCUGGCAAUAACUUCCAGGCCUUCCCCCUGUAACUGGUUACAGAAAUAAAAACUCUCUCCCCAAUUCAUCUGCAUCUCAUUAUUGGGGCACAAGAAAUAGCAGCCCAACCCUCAGUUUUGUCCAGGAACACUAGAAUUACCAGCGUGAGCCACAGUAGCUUGCCUGUAAAUGCUCUUUAUCAAGUUGAGGAAGGUCCCCUCAAUUCCCAUUUUCUGAAUUUUUUAAAUAAUAAAUUUAAAAACUGUGUGUUAAACUUGUGAUGUUAAAUUUUGUCAGGUAUUUUUUCUGCACUGAUUUAUAUGAUUAUAUGAUUUUUCUUCUUUUUCCUUUUAAUGUGGUUGAUCAUUUUGAUUGUUUUUCAAAUAAUGAACCAUCUAUGUUUCCUUACAAUAAAUUCUAUUUGGUUAUGGUGAAUUAAUUCUUUUUAUGAAAUGCUGAAUUCUAUUUGCUAAUAUUUUAUUAAGAAUGUCUGCACCUACAUCAAGUAGAGUUUUAUGGAUGGAAAUUAAAAGAAAAGAAGUUUGGGGCUGAACAUGGUGGCCCCUGCUGUAACUGCCCAACGGGUUCACC
rnacentral:lncRNA from 10 species